UCAGUUCGGACUGUAGGCUGCAACUCGCCUACACGAAGUUGGAAUUGCUAGUAAUCGUGGAUCAGCAUGCCACGGUGAAUACGUUCCCGGGUCUUGUACACACCGCCCGUCACACCAUGGGAGCUGGUAACACCCGAAGUCAGUAGUCUAACCGCAAGGAGGACGCUGCCGAAGGUGGGAUUAGCGACUGGGGUGAAGUCGUAACAAGGUACC
rnacentral:rRNA from 1 species